AUGGCUGCCAAACUGAGUCUAGUUUGUCUUGGCGUUAGCAAUUGUAGGAGCUGUGAUAAACUCUGCUUUAUAUAGUAUGGAUGCUGGGCACAGAACUGUCAUCUUUGACCUACUCACUUUCUCAUCCUUUGGGUACAGAAAUCAAUUAUUUUUGACUGCCACUGCCAACCAUGGAAUGUAUCAGUCAUUACUGGAAGCAAAGAUUUGCAGAAUGUCAACAUCACACAGUGCGUUCUCUUCCUGCCAGUAGCCAGCCAGCUUCCUCGAAUCUACACCAGCAUGAGUGAGGACAAUGUUGAGCGGGUGCUGCUGUCUAUCACCAGAGAUCCUCAAAGUAGGUGGUGGCUUGGUUUGAUGCUGAAUAGUUGAUUACGCUGGUCUCCAGGUAGGUGAAUGAUGACCUCACAAAAUGAGCCGCAAUAUCUGAGCUCAUCUUUGAUGACCUGUCCUUGACAAAAGGAGUUCACAGGGGCAGUAGAAGCCAAACAGGUGGCUCAGAAGGAAGCAGAGAUAGCCAGAUUUGUAGUGGAAAAGGCUGAGCAGUAGUAGGCAGCAGCCAUUAUAUCUGCUAAGGGUGACUCCAAGGCAGCUGAGCUGAUUACCAACUCGCUGGUCACAGUAGGUGAUGGCAUGAUUGAGCUGUGAAAGCUGGAAGGUGCUGAGGACAUUGUGUACCGGCUCUGCCGCUCUGGGACCAUCACCUACCUGCACUCUGUCCUCCUCCAGCUACCCCAGUUGAAAUUUAAUGAUUGGCUUAAAGUGAAGGAAAUAAAAGAAAAAUCACUUCAGAUCUCU
rnacentral:lncRNA from 1 species